rnacentral:lncRNA from 1 species
CUCCGCAGGACUUUUGAAAAGUCAAAAGCUACUUCUAAACAUAUUUGAAUAAUUUUCAGAAAGUGGCUCGUCUAAAUAGAAAAGCUUUUAUAAGAAGCUAGCCUAAUGUUACUUUCUCAAGAAGUUCUUUUUUAAGAUGCAGAAGUAAAAGCAAAAAUCAUGCGGCCCAAAUGAGAAUUUCAACUUGCCAUCUAAAAGUUGUUUAGAACUCAGCGAGACACGCCCCCACGGGCAUGGCGCAAUGGUAAAGCGGGAGGGUUCUAUACGGAGUAUCGAAUGUUCGAAUCCCUGCGAUUGCUGGAAAGCAACAUUUAUGUUAGAAAACAGUUGUCAUGUGAAGGUAAAGUUAUGGUGCGCUUUGUCACCCUUCCAGAGGUCCUGUCCACACGUCGUAAAGGGAGGUCUAUAGGGAGGAGAACCGCUUUUCGAAUGUCCAGCCCAAAUGUGUAUAAGCUGUAAUAGUAUUCGAAUUUACCUGGGUGGCAAACCAGAGGGAAAGGCCGCCACUCUUUAAGAUUAAUCAAGAGAAGCUUGGACACCUGAGUUAUCAAAAAAAAAAAACUGAACGAGACACUGUUAACUAAUGUCAUUGUUACUCAUCAGUUUGUGCUUAACUGAUAAAAUACACAAAUCAAUUAUGGAUUGACAAUAAUUAGCAAUGUUCAGAGUUUACUGUCCAUAAGCUAUCCAAUACCCGACACCCGUGUUCUAUUAGAUAUCCAUG